CAAUCAAUAAAUUCAAUCACAGGUUGACGUGGACUCCUGACUGGAGUCUAAUUCAAAAAUAUAAAAUGA
rfam:Pelagibacteraceae bacterium GOM-A4 A4_S4_2, whole genome shotgun sequence.